CAGGAUUAAGCCACACCCGUCGCGAGGCGGGGUCGGAAAGCCACGGGUCUUAGAACAAGACAGCCGGGCCGCCAUCG
rnacentral:ncRNA from 1 species